ACAUGCUUACAACAUAGCGUUAAUGCAUCAGAUCCCAUUAGAACUCUGUAGUUAAGCACACUCAAUAUAGAGUAGUAAUGGGAUGGGUGAUUUCCCGGGAAGUCCUAGUAUUUUACAUGCC
rnacentral:rRNA from 1 species